rnacentral:rRNA from 1 species
CCUACGGGUGGCAGCAGUAGGGAAUCUUCCACAAUGGGCGAAAGCCUGAUGGAGCAACGCCGCGUGGGUGAAGAAGGUCUUCGGAUCGUAAAACCCUGUUGUUAGAGAAGAAAGUGCGUGAGAGAAACUGUUCACGAUUCGACGGGAUCUAACCAGAAAGCCACGGCUAACUACGUGCCAGCAGCCGCGGUAAUACGUAGGGGGCAAGCGUUAUCCGGAUUUAUUGGGCGUAAAGGGAACGCAGGCGGUCUUUUAAGUCUGAUGUGAAAGGCUUCGGCUUAACCGGAGUAGUGCAUUGGAAACUGGGAGACUUGAGUGCAGAAGAGGAGAGUGGAACUCCAGGUGUAGCGGUGAAAUGCGUAGAUAUAUGGAAGAACCCCAGUGGCGAAGGCAGCUUUCUGGUCUGUCACUGACGCUGAGGUUCGAAAGCGUGGGUAGCAAACAGGAUUAGAUACCCGGGUAGUC